UGGGGGAUAUUGCACAAUGGGCGAAAGCCUGAUGCAGCGACGCCGCGUGGGGGAUGAAGGCCUUCGGGUUGUAAACUUCUUUUGCUCUGAACAAGGCAUGCUAAUGGGUGUGUUGAGUGUAGGGGUUGAUUAGCGCCGGCUAACUACGUGCCAGCAGCCGCGGUACUACGUAGGGCGCGAGCGUUGUCCGGAAUUAUUGGGCGUAAAGGGCUUGUAGGUGGCUGGUUGCGUCUGUCGUGAAAGCUCAUGGCUUAACUGUGGGUUUGCGGUGGGUACGGGCUGGCUUGAGUGAAGUAGGGGCGGCUAGAAUUCCUGGUGGAGCGGUUGAAUGCUCAAAUAUCAGGAGGCAUACCGGUGGCGAAGGCGGGCCUCUGGGCUGUUACUGACACUGAGGAGCGAAAGCAUGGGGAGCGAACAGG
rnacentral:rRNA from 1 species